rnacentral:rRNA from 1 species
GAUAAACGCUGGCGGCGUGCAUGAGACAUGCAAGUCGAACGAAGGAUCGGGCUUGCUCGAUCCUUAGUGGCGGACGGCUGAGUAACGCGUAGGUGGCCUACCCCGAAGUGGGGAAUAACUGCCCGAAAGGGUGGCUAAUACCGCAUGUGGUCGCACGUUCAUUCGUGCGAGUAAAGCCGCAAGGCGCUUCGGGAGGGGCCUGCGUCCGAUUAGCUCGUUGGUGGGGUAAUGGCUUACCAAGGCGACGAUCGGUAGGUGGUCUGAGAGGACGAUCACCCAGACUGGGACUGAGACACGGCCCAGACUCCUACGGGAGGCAGCAGUCGGGAAUUUUGCUCAAUGGGGGAAACCCUGAAGCAGCAACGCCGCGUGAGGGAUGAAGGCCUUCGGGUUGUAAACCUCUUUUGUCAGGGACGAUGAUGACGGUACCUGGCGAAUAAGCCACGGCUAACUACGUG